CUAGUGCCAAAGUAAUCACCUAAUACACAACCCCCAGAAGCAUUAUGCUGACAGACCCUGAUGUUCCCCUUCUGUGUUUUCAUUGGAGCUGUGCAGUUAUGUCUUCAAUCAAAUGGAAAUAUGCUAACAACUGUCAUAAUUUCCACCUCAGAGGCUCCAGACAUGACAUACCUAUAAACGUAGUAUCAAGGAUGGUGGCUGGUGUGUGAAUGCUUUCAGAAGAAACACAGAAGAGAAAUCAAACCCAAAUGCCAUUCUUAGCACAUUACGAUGGAGGAGACACAGAGGGCAAUAUUCAGGAUAAUAGGAGAAGAGAAGAGGAGGGACACCGCAGAAGCACAGCCAUGAGACGACAGACACGGGUAACGGUGGUAUCAGAUUACAGUAGCCUUUACAGGAUGAUUCCCUCUGGCCCUGUUUGAAGCAGUUAAGUAACAGUGUUUUUAAAAAAAUUUAAUGUAAAUAUGUAUACUGUGACAGAAAUUGCAUCUUUGGUAAUCAUUUAAACUUCAGAUAGAAAAAAAUUAUGUCAAUUAAUGUUUGAACGAAUAAGAAAUUAUUCAGCAUUAUGUGGGGUAAUGCAGGCAAAUGUGUGAAGAUCAGUUAAUAGUUAAUCUUUAAUUUUUCUUCCAAUUGUUAAAUUCUGUGAUUCAAGGCACUUUUAUUUGAAAUAUACAAACAAAAUUUAAAUAAAUAUUAAAUUUUUUUUUCUUCUUGAACUCA
rnacentral:lncRNA from 1 species